rnacentral:rRNA from 1 species
UCGAGCGGAACGAUGAUAGCUUGCUAUCAGGCGUCGAGCGGCGGACGGGUGAGUAAUGCUUAGGAAUCUGCCCAGUAGUGGGGGACAACAGUCGGAAACGGCUGCUAAUACCGCAUACGCCCUACGGGGGAAAGCAGGGGAUCUUCGGACCUUGCGCUAUUGGAUGAGCCUAAGUCGGAUUAGCUAGUUGGUGAGGUAAAGGCUCACCAAGGCCACGAUCCGUAGCUGGUUUGAGAGGAUGAUCAGCCACAUCGGGACUGAGACACGGCCCCAACUCCUACGGGAGG